rnacentral:tRNA from 1 species
GGGAAAGUGGCUCAGUGGUAGAGCACUUGCCUCGCAUGCAUGAAGCCCUGAGUUCAAUUCCUCAGUACCA